UACGAAGGGGGCUAGCGUUGUUCGGAAUUACUGGGCGUAAAGCGCACGUAGGCGGAUAUUUACGUCAGGGGUGAAAUCCCAGAGCUCAACUCUGGAACUGCCUUUGAUACUGGGUAUCUCGAGUAUGGAAGAGGUGAGUGGAAUUCCGAGUGUAGAGGUGAAAUUCGUAGAUAUUCGGAGGAACACCAGUGGCGAAGGCGGCUCACUGGUCCAUUACUGACGCUGAGGUGCGAAAGCGUGGGGAGCAAACAGG
rnacentral:rRNA from 1 species